rnacentral:tRNA from 1 species
GCUCCAAUGGCGCAAUGGUAGCGCGCAAGACUUCUACUUCGCUGUUAAGCUAGGACCUUUCUGGUCAUGUGAUAUCUUGAGGUUGAGGGUUCGAGCCCCUCUUGGAGUG